UGCUUCCUACGGGGCGCAGCAGUGAGGAAUAUUGGUCAAUGGGCGGGAGCCUGAACCAGCCAAGUCGCGUGAAGGAAGAAGGUACUUAGUAUUGUAAACUUCUUUUGUCGGGGAACAAAGGUGGAGACGCGUCUCCGGAUGAGUGUACCCGAAGAAAAAGCAUCGGCUAACUCCGUGCCAGCAGCCGCGGUAAUACGGAGGAUGCGAGCGUUAUCCGGAUUUAUUGGGUUUAAAGGGUGUGCAGGCGGGAGAUCAAGUCAGCGGUAAAAUGGCGGGGGUCAACCCCGGCCGGCCGUUGAAACUGG
rnacentral:rRNA from 1 species